GAGCCUUUAGCUAAAAAAAAAAGGGUUCAGAGCCCACCGCACAUUUCGGCACCGCACAUUUCGGCACCGCACUCGACUCCACGGGCAGCGACACGGCCUACGCCGACGAGCACCCGCCGUCGCCCCCUUCCUCGCCCGUUUCCGCCUGAAUCCUCCGUCACUCUCAGCCUCCGCGCACCCAUCUCCGCCUGGUCGAUAUCGCUCGUACCAUCUUCGGCUCCAACCCCAAGCCGAUCCGACGCCGGCUGCCUGUUCGACAGAAUGCCUGAGAGCGUGGCGCCCGGCGGGGAGGACCGCAUCGGCGCCCUCCCGGACGAUCUCCUCCGCCGCGUGCUGUCGUUCCUUACCUCGCGCGAGUCCGUCUGCACAUGCGUGCUCGCUCGCUGCUGGCGCCACCUCUGGAAGUCCGUGCCCGUGGUGCGCGUCAUGGUGCCGGUGCCCAUCGAUAGAGAAGGGGAGGAAGAGCUCUGGUUUGUUAAUUCGCUGCUUCUCCUCCGCGACCGGGCGCCGCUGCAUGAGGUCGAUAUCAGAACCUACCUCGACGACCCAUCGGCACCCCUCAACGUUGAGCUGUGGCUCCGAUAUGCGGCAUCCUGCCAUGUUCGGGUGCUUCGAGUUUGGGUGCUUCCGAGUUUACAGUCGGCGUCUGCAGCUACCCAACGUGACUCUCAUCUGCCAGCACCUGACAGUAUUAGAUUUCGCUGGUAUGAAAUUUGAGGAACACACUCUGAAUUUUUCAAGCUGCCCAAUGCUAGAGGUAUUAAAGAUGUAUGAUUGUAAAAUCAGCGCCGAGAAGAUCUUGUGCAAAUCGUUAAGGCAUCUAACUAUGGAGAUAUGCCGUUUUGACCUGUAUGGCCGCACUCGUAUCUCUUGCCCAAGUCUCACUGCCUUAACUAGUUGACAAUUUGGGUUGGACUCCUUCCCUUGAGAGCAUGCCGUUAUUGGUAACGGCACUUGUCAGGUUUGAUGAAGAAUGGUGUGAACGUCAAGCGUGUUAUGAUCAUUGUCUUAAUGGUGGUUACUAUGGGGACUGUGAUGAUGAGCUAUGUCCUUCUUGCCUCUGUCAUGGCGAUGACUGUGUGCUUCUAAAAGGUCUAUGUGACGCUACAAAUUUGAAGUUGACAAGUGCUCCUCAAGCGAUUAUUUGCACCAGGGAUUUUAAAUGGUGCCAUACGUUUAGCAAGUUAAAAACAUUGUUUCUCAAUGAGUGGUGCCUGGCUGCUGACUUCGGUGGACUGGUUUACUUUCUUCAGCACUCACCAAUUCUAGAGAGGCUUACCCUUCAACUUAGACUUCGUGAGAAACAAUCUAUGGAUGGAAAAAAUGCAAGCUACAAUCCAAGAAAACAAUUCUUGGUAUCAAAGAAUCUUAAAGUAGUCGAAAUCAAGUGUCACAAGGAAGAUGAAAGGAUUCACCAAAUUGUAAAGAUCCUUGUCAGCCUUGGAGUACCUCCUGAGAAUAUUGACAACCAACAGAACGAUGUGUGGUCUGAUUCACAAUGGCUCGCGGUGACCAUCAAGAUGAUGAUGAUGACUUCAUGGAGUUACCGUAACAGAAUCGCGCGACCGGUCGGACAAAAGAUGGCGAUGAGAAAUGUUACCGCAAUAGGGCUUCGCAAAAACGCCUGACUAUAUUGACUGAGGGAUUUACUGAUGAGCAGAAGGGAGCUGCCGGUGAGAUGGGGAUACACGCUCUGAUGGAUGUUCGGUGCAAGAACCUAGUAAAUCCUGUAUGUGACUGGCUCGGUGAGAUAUAUGAGACUGGCUCGGUGAGAUAUAUGAGCCUGCCUCUAGGGAAUUCGUGAUUCCGGGACGUGGAAGAUUGCCUUUGGAUGAGGAAUCUGUGUUCUGCACUUUGGGUGUGCCCGUUGGAGAAAUCAAAGUCCCGUAUAAGGUGAAUAAUAAGAUUGAGGAAGCCUUGUUCGCCCGUUUGUUUUCUGGAAUGGCAUCCAUGCCAAAUACGACUGUGCUGGCAACUUCGCUGGAGGCCAUGAAAACCCAUAGCGAGGUAUUUAAGAUGAAGCUGCUCAUGUACUUGAUUUUAGUUGUUUUUGCGCCUACCACAUCUCUUUGCCCAAGCAACAAGUGCUUCCCUAUCCUGGUGAAGCUGAAAGAUGUUAAGAACAUGAAUUGGUGUAAAUUCAUUGCAGACUUCCUGCAUGAUGCAUUCUUAAACAAGAUGUAUCAGAAGGGCUGUCGCUUGCACCUAAUGGUAUUUUCCCCCUACUUUUUUGCAAAUGCUCUUAUCACAUUCAUUCUUUUCCUAAAUCAACAUUGCAGCUGUUCAUAAGUGUGAACCAACUUGUUUUGCAAUUUUGGUAUCUCUAUUUGUCCAUAAUCUGCCAAUCGAAAGUUUUUGAUUGAUCUUUUAACUGGAUUUUGUUUUUUCCUUUUUUUGAUGGCAACCGAUUAAGAACGUGCAUGGCAACCCUUUGUUUUCAUUUUUAUGUGCCUCUUUUACAUGUGAAAGUGAUUUUUGUUUGAUCCAUGACAUCUGUAGUUGCCGCCUACAAGGUAAUAGUAUUUUUCUACAACACAAAAAGUGUUCUUUUCAUACAUUUAUUUUCUUUAUACAAUCUGGAUGGCAACUACCAUGUUGAAGUGGUGGCAACUACCAGCAUAACAUGAUGGCAACUGCCAGCAUAACAUGAUGGCAACUAACAUAGAUAGAUGCUCAUGUACGUCGAUCUUCUUGAUCUGUCCACUGUCGACUUUACUGAGAUAGGAGGCCCGCCGCCUUCACAUAAGUUUGCUAUCUCUGCGUGGACGUACAAUGGUGUCAAGGUUGUGCUUGCCGCAGACAGGAUAUCUGAUACAAAAUAUGGAAAACUGCAGCUGAUGGCCAAGCAUGCUAUAGAUUACAGUGUGUUUGGUGGGCCACAAAACUUUGGCAAGUGGAUGGAUGUGCAUUCAGCUCUAUCUUGUUCUGCUGAGG